AUUUAAUUAUUGAAGAAGUGUUUUAAGAAGUGACAGAGAAACAUUGCCUUCCUCCUUGAUGUAUUACACUCUUACUGUGGCCUGAUCCAGAAAACAAGGAGGUGAAUGUAUUUUAUUCCCAGGAUCUCUGAAAGUCUCUUCACAGACACUGAAGAUCACUCUUCCAGAGUAUGGCCCUUCCAAGCCAUUAGAAACUGGAGUUGCAAGGCCAGGAGAGGUACCCACUAGGUACAUACAAAUAGCAAUGGGAAUGUCAUUGCUGUCACCUCCAACAUUUCUCCAAAAGAGGACUGCACUCAUCAACAGAAGGCUGUAGUCAAGCAGAAAGCCAGGCCAGGAAGAAAGGCAGAAUAAAACUCCACUGCCAGCCAGCAUGACAGUUUUGUUCAGAGCUCAGUUUGAGUCCAACUUUUUGUAUGAGAGCUGAAUAAAAGCUGAAGCAUUUGACUAGAAUGUUGUUGUUCUUCUAGGUGACUAAAUAACUUUCAGCAUUUAAAUUCAGACAGCUGAAGUUCCUCUCUUUAACUGGGUCUCAGUAACUUCCAGUCUGAUAAAACUGUGACAACUGAGUGAGGCUAAAUCUUGAGCUGCACUACUGUUCAUCAUUAGCAAAUCUGCCCAUUCAUUUUGUUCAUUAUGGACCAUGGGUUAUGAGUUAGUAUAUUUUGGGAUGUCCUCUGUCUGGAAGUAAAUGUUAUUCUUUGCAUACAAAGUCAGGUAUUACUGAGCAGAUGUAAUAAAGAUAUUUAAACAGAUUCCUGAAUUGAAGGUGUGGAUCCUCCAAUAUUCUGUAUUUAUUGCACAUAUUUUCUGUAGAGAAUUUUACUUAUUUCUCUUAUAAAAAUGGGUAUUUUGUACUUUUAUAACAUAACUUACCUAUUUCAUUUCCAAAUCUGCCAUGCAGGCAUCUUUGAAAUAUCUCUGGAAAGAUAUGACACUGCUUAUAAAGAAACCACUGAGUUAUUCCAGCUUGAAAAACAAUGGAAUUUACAAAGUAAGAGGUCCACGCUCCAGAAGGUGGGGUUCUUAGGAGCUGACAGAUAACAUCAAUGUAGAGAGAACCUCGGUAUAUAAUAUUCUGCAUGUAUGCAUGUGCAUGCAUGUAUGCAGUAAGAUAAUGUACAAAAAGUAAAAGCCUAUAAACACA